rnacentral:misc_RNA from 1 species
UACAGAGGGUGCAAGCGUUAAUCGGAAUGACUGGGCAUAAAGGGUGCGUAGGUGGCCCUAUAAGUUAGGUGUGAAAUACCCGAGCUCAACUUGGGAGUUGCACUUAAGACUGUAGAGCUAGAGUUCAUGAAAGGGUGGAGGAAUUUCCGGUGUAGCGGUGAAAUGCUUAGAUAUCGGAAGGAACACCAGUGGCGAAGGCGUCUGCCUAGAAUGAAACUGACACUGAGGCACGAAAGCGUGGGGAGCAAACAGG